GAAAAUGUACCGGGGCUAAAACAAUUUACCGAAGCUGUGGAUACCUUUUAUAGGUAUGGUAGGAGAGCGUUCUAUGUGUGGAGAAGGUGUACCGUGAGGAGCGCUGGAACGCAUAGAAGUGAGAAUGCCGGUAUGAGUAGCGAAAGACAGGUGAGAAUCCUGUCCACCGUAAGACUAAGGUUUCCAGGGGAAGGCUCGUCCGCCCUGGGUUAGUCGGGACCUAAGGAGAGACCGAAAGGUGUAUCCGAUGGACAACAGGUUGAUAUUCCUGUACUAGAGUAUGUAGUGAUGGAGGGACGCAGUAGGCUAACUAAAGCAGACGAUUGGAAGUGUCUGUCUAAGCAGUGAGGUGUGAAUUGAGUUAAAUGCUUAGUUCUAUAACAUUGAGCUGUGAUGGGGAGCGAAGUUUAGUAGCGAAGUUAGUGACGUCACACUGCCAAGAAAAGCUUCUAGCGUUUAAACAUACUCUACCCGUACCGCAAACCGACACAGGUAGUCGAGGCGAGUAGCCUCAGGUGAGCGAGAGAACUCUCGUUAAGGAACUCGGCAAAAUGACCCCGUAACUUCGGGAGAAGGGGUGCUGACUUAAGUCAGCCGCAGUGAAUAGGCCCAAGCAACUGUUUAUCAAAAACACAGCUCUCUGCUAAAUCGUAAGAUGAUGUAUAGGGGGUGACGCCUGCCCGGUGCUGGAAGGUUAAGAGGAGUGCUUAGCGUAAGCGAAGGUAUGAAUUGAAGCCCCAGUAAACGGCGGCCGUAACUAUAACGGUCCUAAGGUAGCGAAAUUCCUUGUCGGGUAAGUUCCGACCCGCACGAAAGGCGUAAUGAUUUGGGCACUGUCUCAACGAGAGACUCGGUGAAAUUUUAGUACCUGUGAAGAUGCAGGUUACCCGCGACAGGACGGAAAGACCCCAUGGAGCUUUACUGCAGUUUGAUAUUGAGUGUCUGUACCACAUGUACAGGAUAGGUAGGAGUCUAUGAGAUCGGGACGCCAGUUUCGAAGGAGACGCUGUUGGGAUACUACCCUUGUGUUAUGGCCACUCUAACCCGGAUAGGUGAUCCCUAUCGGAGACAGUGUCUGAC
rnacentral:rRNA from 1 species